GGAAAGGGCGGCUUGCUAUGAUGCAGUCGAACGAACUUCCGUUAAUUGAUUAUGACGUACUUGUACUGAUUGAGAUUUUAACACGAAGUGAGUGGCGAACGGGUGAGUAACACGUGGGUAACCUGCCCAGAAGUAGGGGAUAACACCUGGAAACAGAUGCUAAUACCGUAUAACAGAGAAAACCGCAUGGUUUUCUUUUAAAAGAUGGCUCUGCUAUCACUUCUGGAUGGACCCGCGGCGUAUUAGCUAGUUGGUGAGGUAAAGGCUCACCAAGGCAGUGAUACGUAGCCGACCUGAGAGGGUAAUCGGCCACAUUGGGACUGAGACACGGCCCAGACUCCUACGGGAGGCAGCAGUAGGGAAUCUUCCACAAUGGACGCAAGUCUGAUGGAGCAACGCCGCGUGAGUGAAGAAGGGUUUCGGCUCGUAAAGCUCUGUUGUUAAAGAAGAACGUGGGUAAGAGUAACUGUUUACCCAGUGACGGUAUUUAACCAGAAAGCCACGGCUAACUACGUGCCAGCAGCCGCGGUAAUACGUAGGUGGCAAGCGUUAUCCGGAUUUAUUGGGCGUAAAGCGAGCGCAGGCGGUCUUUUAAGUCUAAUGUGAAAGCCUUCGGCUCAACCGAAGAAGUGCAUUGGAAACUGGGAGACUUGAGUGCAGAAGAGGACAGUGGAACUCCAUGUGUAGCGGUGAAAUGCGUAGAUAUAUGGAAGAACACCAGUGGCGAAGGCGGCUGUCUGGUCUGCAACUGACGCUGAGGCUCGAAAGCAUGGGUAGCGAACAGGAUUAGAUACCCUGGUAGUCCAUGCCGUAAACGAUGAUUACUAAGUGUUGGAGGGUUUCCGCCCUUCAGUGCUGCAGCUAACGCAUUAAGUAAUCCGCCUGGGGAGUACGACCGCAAGGUUGAAACUCAAAAGAAUUGACGGGGGCCCGCACAAGCGGUGGAGCAUGUGGUUUAAUUCGAAGCUACGCGAAGAACCUUACCAGGUCUUGACAUCUUCUGACAGUCUAAGAGAUUAGAGGUUCCCUUUCGGGGACAGAAUGACAGGUGGUGCAUGGUUGUCGUCAGCUCGUGUCGUGAGAUGUUGGGUUAAGUCCCGCAACGAGCGCA
rnacentral:rRNA from 1 species